rnacentral:rRNA from 1 species
UUGGAGGGCAAGUCUGGUGCCAGCAGCCGCGGUAAUUCCAGCUCCAAUAGCGUAUAUUAAAGUUGUUGCAGUUAAAAAGCUCGUAGUUGUAUUUCGGGGUCAGUAGAUUGGUCAUGCCACUGGUAUGUGCUGGUCUCACUGAUUCCUCCUUCCUGAUGAGCCGUAAUGCCAUUAAUUUGGUGUUGCGAGGAAUCUGGACUGUUACUUUGAAAAAAUUAGAGUGUUUAAAGCAGGCUAACGCUUGAAUACAUUAGCAUGGAAUAAUGAAAUAGGACGUUCGAUCUUAUUUUGUUGGUUUCUAAGAUUGACGUAAUGAUUAAUAGGGAUAGUUGGGGGCAUUAGUAUUCAAUUGUCAGAGGUGAAAUUCUUGGGUUUAUUGAAGACUAACUACUGCGAAAGCAUUUGCCAAGGAUGUUUUCAUUAAUCAAGAACGAAAGUUAGGGGAUCGAAGACGAUCAGAUACCGUCGUAGUCUUAACCAUAAACUAUGCCGACUAGGGAUCGGAUGAUGUUAAUUUUUUAAUGACUCAUUCGGCGCCUUACGGGAAACA